AUUGAACGCUGGCGGCAUGCCUUACACAUGCAAGUCGAACGGCAGCGGACCUUCGGGUGCCGGCGAGUGGCGAACGGGUGAGUAAUGCAUCGGAACGUACCUUUCAGUGGGGGAUAACGUAGCGAAAGUUACGCUAAUACCGCAUAUCCUGUGAGCAGGAAAGCAGGGGAUCGCAAGACCUUGCGCUGAUUGAGCGGCCGAUGUCAGAUUAGCUAGUUGGUGAGGUAAAGGCUCACAAAGGCGACGAUCUGUAGCGGGUCUGAGAGGAUGAUCCGCCACACUGGAACUGAGACACGGUCCAGACUCCUACGGGAGGCAGCAGUGGGGAAUUUUGGACAAUGGGGGCAACCCUGAUCCAGCCAUGCCGCGUGAGUGAAGAAGGCCUUCGGGUUGUAAAGCUCUUUCGGCCGGGAAGAAAUCGCACGGGCUAAUACCCUGUGUGGAUGACGGUACCGGAAUAAGAAGCACCGGCUAACUACGUGCCAGCCGCCGCGGUAGCAC
rnacentral:rRNA from 1 species